GGCUCAGGAUGAACGCUGGCGGGUGCUUAACACAUGCAAGUCGAACGAUGAAGCCCAGCUUGCUGGGUGGAUAGUGGCGAACGGGUGAGUAACACGUGAGUAACCUGCCCUUAACUCUGGGAUAAGCCUGGGAAACUGGUCCUAAUACCGGAUAAGGAGCGUCCACCGCAUGGUGGGUGUUGGAAGAUUUAUCGGUUUUGGAUGGACUCGCGGCCUAUCAGCUUGUUGGUGAGGUAAUGGCUCACCAAGGCGACGACGGGUAGCCGGCCUGAGAGGGUGACCGGCCACACUGGGACUGAGACACGGCCCAGACUCCUACGGGAGGCAGCAGUGGGGAAUAUUGCACAAUGGGCGAAAGCCUGAUGCAGCGACGCCGCGUGAGGGAUGACGGCCUUCGGGUUGUAAACCUCUUUCAGUAGGGAAGAAGCGAAAGUGACGGUACCUGCAGAAGAAGCACCGGCUAACUACGUGCCAGCAGCCGCGUAAUACGUAGGGUGCGAGCGUUAUCCGGAAUUAUUGGGCGUAAAGAGCUCGUAGGCGGUUUGUCGCGUCUGUCGUGAAAGUCCGGGGCUUAACCCCGGAUCUGCGGUGGGUACGGGCAGACUAGAGUGCAGUAGGGGAGACUGGAAUUCCUGGUGUAGCGGUGGAAUGCGCAGAUACAGGAGGAACACCGAUGGCGAAGGCAGGUCUCUGGGCUGUAACUGACGCUGAGGAGCGAAAGCAUGGGGAGCGAACAGGAUUAGAUACCCUGGUAGUCCAUGCCGUAAACGUUGGGCACUAGGUGUGGGGACCAUUCCACGGUUUCCGCGCCGCAGCUAACGCAUUAAGUGCCCCGCCCUGGGGAGUACGGCCGCAAGGCUAAAACUCAAAGGAAUUGACGGGGGCCCGCACAAGCGGCGGAGCAUGCGGAUUAAUUCGAUGCAACGCGAAGAACCUUACCAAGGCUUGACAUGUUCCCGAUCGCCGUAGAGAUACGAUUUCCCCUUUGGGGCGGGUUCACAGGUGGUGCAUGGUUGUCGGUCAGCUCGUGUCGUGAGAUGUUGGGUUAAGUCCCGCAACGAGCCGCAACCCUCGUUCCAUGUUGCCAGCACGUAAUGGUGGGGACUCAUGGGAGACUGCCGGGGUCAACUCGGGGAAGGUGAGGACGACGUCAAAUCAUCAUGCCCCUUAUGUCUUGGGCUUUCACGCAUGCUACAAUGGGCCGGUACAAUGGGUUGCGAUACUGUGAGGUGGAGCUAAAUCCCAAAAAGCCGCGUCUCAGUUCGGAUUGGGGUCUGCAACUCGACCCCAUGAAGUCGGAGUCGCUAGUAUUCGCAAUCAGCAACGCUGCGUGAAUACGUUCCCGGGCCUUGUACACACCCCCGUCAAGUCACGAAAGGC
rnacentral:rRNA from 1 species